UACAGAGGUCUCAAGCGUUGUUCGGAUUCAUUGGGCGUAAAGGGUGCGUAGGUGGCGGGGUUAGUCAGGUGUGAAAUCUCGGAGCUCAACUCCGAAACUGCACUUGAUACUGCCUUGCUCGAGUACUGGAGAGGAGAUUGGAAUUUACGGUGUAGCAGUGAAAUGCGUAGAUAUAGGAAGGAACACCAGUGGCGAAGGCGACCACCUGGACUGAUACUGACACUGAGGUGCGAAAGCGUGGGGAGCAAACAGG
rnacentral:rRNA from 1 species